UCACCUACAUGGCUUCUUCGCCCUUUCUUCCUAGACUUAUCUCGGCAAGUCACUUCCAGAUGACUCAUAGGAGGAUGCUAAAUCAAGCAGAAUUUUGGCAGCCAUUCUUUUGGAAGAGAUGCUCAAGAACAGACCUGCAUGUGCUCCUGAGAUUGGAAAGGCAGCCAUCUAGGCAUAGAGAGUACAUGAAAAAGAAGAUAGAUUGAUGAGAAGCAACCUAGUAAACUACAAGCAGUUUUUAUGAUUGAAGGACUGAGUACAAGACAAUAAG